AUGCACGCUGGCGGCGUGCCUAAUCCAUGCAAGUCGAGCGAACAGACGAGGAGCUUGCUCCUCUGACGUUAGCGGCGGACGGGUGAGUAACACGUGGAUAACCUACCUAUAAGACUGGGAUAACUUCGGGAAACCGGAGCUAAUACCGGAUAAUAUAUUGAACCGCAUGGUUCAAUAGUGAAAGACGGUUUUGCUGUCACUUAUAGAUGGAUCCGCGCCGCAUUAGCUAGUUGGUAAGGUAACGGCUUACCAAGGCAACGAUGCGUAGCCGACCUGAGAGGGUGAUCAGCCACACUGGAACUGAGACACGGUCCAGACUCCUACGGGAGGCAGCAGUAGGGAAUAUUCCGCAAUGGGCGAAAGCCUGACGGAGCAACGCCGCGUGAGUGAUGAAGGUCUUCGGAUCGUAAAACUCUGUUAUUAGGGAAGAACAAAUGUGUAAGUAACUAUGCACGUCUUGACGGUACCUAAUCAGAAAGCCACGGCUAACUACGUG
rnacentral:rRNA from 1 species